rnacentral:rRNA from 1 species
UGGGGAAUAUUGGACAAUGGGCGCAAGCCUGAUCCAGCCAUGCCGCGUGAGUGAUGAAGGCCCUAGGGUUGUAAAGCUCUUUCACCGGUGAAGAUAAUGACGGUAACCGGAGAAGAAGCCCCGGCUAACUUCGUGCCAGCAGCCGCGGUAAUACGAAGGGGGCUAGCGUUGUUCGGAUUUACUGGGCGUAAAGCGCACGUAGGCGGACUAUUAAGUCAGGGGUGAAAUCCCGGGGCUCAACCCCGGAACUGCCUUUGAUACUGGUAGUCUUGAGUUCGAGAGAGGUGAGUGGAAUUACGAGUGUAGAGGUGAAAUUCGUAGAUAUUCGGAGGAACACCAGUGGCGAAGGCGGCUCACUGGCUCGAUACUGACGCUGAGGUGCGAAAGCGUGGGGAGCAAACAGG